AAGGAACACCUGAGAACAAUAGGCAUGGGAGGUAUUGGGAAAACACAGGAACAUAUUGUGACCCCUAAUUUUAAAGGGAAAUAAUGGUUGAGGCUUUCCUCCAUGUUCCCAUGCCUAAUGCUCUUAGGUGCUC
rnacentral:miRNA from 2 species